UUUUAUCUGCCUUAUAGAGUCACAUCACAUUUUAUAAAUUUUGUAAGCCAAGGCGUAUGAGUUAUUACGUGUGCGCCUGAAGAGGUCACAGAUUUUAAUAUUUAAAAAGUUCAAUUCCUUUUUCUUGGAUGAAAAUUUUGCCUUGGACUAAAUCAAAAAAUACGUGCUUCAACCUUUUUGCUAAAUAUUUUAUAAGAAAGUCUAAGACUCUGAAAAAAAAUAAGUAA